rnacentral:rRNA from 1 species
ACGGAGGGUGCAAGCGUUGUCCGGAUUUACUGGGUUUAAAGGGUACGUAGGCGGCUUGUUAAGUCAGUGGUGAAAUACACGAGCUCAACUGGUGAAGGGCCAUUGAUACUGACAGGCUUGAGUGUUGUAUAGGUAGGCGGAAUUGAUGGUGUAGCGGUGAAAUGCAUAGAUACCAUCAAGAACACCGAUUGCGAAGGCAGCUUACUGGGCAAACACUGACGCUGAUGUACGAAAGCGUGGGGAGCGAACAGG